GGUCCUGUCUAGCUCAACUGAGAGCAUGGCCUUAUCACUGCCAGGGUUAAGGGUUCGAUUCCCACUGGGGCCA